GAUGAACGCUGGCGGCGUGCCUAAUACAUGCAAGUCGAGCGAACGGACGAGAAGCUUGCUUUUCUGAUGUUAGCGGCGGACGGGUGAGUAACACGUGGAUAACCUACCUAUAAGACUGGGAUAACUUCGGGAAACCGGAGCUAAUACCGGAUAAUAUUUUGAACCGCAUGGUUCAAAAGUGAAAGACGGUCUUGCUGUCACUUAUAGAUGGAUCCGCGCUGCAUUAGCUAGUUGGUAAGGUAACGGCUUACCAAGGCAACGACGCAUAGCCGACCUGAAAGGGGGGACGGCCACCUGGAAACGGGACACGGGCCCGAACCCCUAGGGAGGGAAGCGUGGGGAAAUCUUCCGAAUGGGGGGAAGCCCUAACGGGGCAACCCCGGGGGGGGAAGGAAGGCUUCGGGUUCGAAAAACUUUUUUUUGGGGAAAAAAAUAAGGUGGAAAAAACUGGGCUCUUCUGACGGGACCCAAAUCAGAAGCCCAGGGUAAACUCGUG
rnacentral:rRNA from 1 species